rnacentral:rRNA from 1 species
UGAGGAAUAUUGGUCAAUGGGCGGUAGCCUGAACCAGCCAAGUCGCGUGAGGGACGACGGCCCUACGGGUUGUAAACCUCUUUUGCCGGGGAGCAAGGCGUGCCACGGGUGGCGCGCCGGAGAGUACCCGGAGAAAAAGCAUCGGCUAACUCCGUGCCAGCAGCCGCGGUAAUACGGAGGAUGCGAGCGUUAUCCGGAUUUAUUGGGUUUAAAGGGUGCGUAGGCGGGAUGCCAAGUCAGCGGUAAAAUCGCGGGGCUCAACCCCGCUCCGCCGUUGAAACUGGCGUUCUUGAGUGGGCGAGAAGUAUGCGGAAUGCGUGGUGUAGCGGUGAAAUGCAUAGAUAUCACGCAGAACUCCGAUUGCGAAGGCAGCAUGCCGGCGCCCAACUGACGCUGAAGCACGAAAGCGUGGGUAUCGAACAGG